UACGUAGGUGGCAAGCGUUGUCCGGAUUUAUUGGGCGUAAAGAGCUCGUAGGCGGCUCGUUGCGUCGGCUGUGAAAACCCGCAGCUCAACUGUGGGCUUGCAGCUGAUACGGGCGGGCUGGAGUUCGGUAGGGGAGACUGGAAUUCCUGGUGUAGCGGUGAAAUGCGCAGAUAUCAGGAAGAACACCCGUGGCGAAGGCGGCUCUCUGGGACGGUACUGACGCUGAGACGCGAAAGCGUGGGGAGCGAACAGG
rnacentral:rRNA from 1 species